GGGGUUGUGGCUCAAUGGUAGAGCGCUUGCCUCGCACAUAUGAGACCCUGGGUUUGAUCCUCAGCACCA
rfam:Ictidomys tridecemlineatus contig002892, whole genome shotgun sequence.